CCUACGGGGGACAGCAGUGGGGAAUAUUGCGCAAUGGGCGAAAGCCUGACGCAGUGACGCCGCGUGAGGGAUGAAGGUCUUCGGAUCGUAAACCUCUGUCAGCAGGGAAGAACGGUCACUGUGCUAAUCAGCAGUGAAUUGACGGUACCUGCAAAGGAAGCACCGGCUAACUCCGUGCCCGCAGCCGCGGUAAUACGGAGGGUGCGAGCGUUAAUCGGGAUUAAUGGGCGUAAAGCGCUCGGUGGCGGUAUGUCAAGUCAAGGGUGAAAUCCCCGGGCUCAACGUGGGAGCUGCCUUUGAAACUGGCAAACUGGAGUGUGUGAGAGGAUAGUGGAAUUCCAGGUGUAGGAGUGAAAUCCGUAGAUAUCUGGAGGAACAUCAGUGGCGAAGGCGACUAUCUGGCACAUAACUGACGCUGAGGAGCGAAAGCGUGGGUAGCAAACAGGAUUAGAUACCCCUGUAGUC
rnacentral:rRNA from 1 species